AUGAAGAUUUUUACGACGGGGAGCUGCGCGUUCCCGCUUCGCGCCAACAACAACAUCCUCGCCCCGGCGCAAAAUAACGGCGUAAACGCUUCGUUUCCCGCUUUCCCGCCCGACGUUAGCCGCCGCGUCGUGAGCUCUGGCGGAUUCACCUUCCCGGUGAUCAGCCCGUCGAAGGCCAUCAGCAGCAGCGUCGUCGACGAGCCGCCGCGCGAGUCGCUGGAGGUGUUCCGUCCCAUCGACGAGGACUCGGUGGUGCUCGUGGACCCUCCGCCGCCCCUCGACGCGAGCUUUCUGCGCGCGCCGGCGGUCGUGGCGGCGAUGGACGACGACGCGAUGAGCGACGCGAGCUCGGACCUGUUCGACCUGGAGAGCUUUGCGGCGUCAUCGUCGUACCCGACCACGUACCGUGGUCGCAGUAGCCGGCGCAACUCGGGGGACGACGACUUGGCGUACGCCGCCGCCGCCGCGGAGCCAGCGCUGAGCGAGUGCAUGUACGCGCCAAGCGAGGCGAGCGUGGUGUGGAGCGUGGCCACGGCCGAGGGCGUCGCCUACGACGCCGGCAGCGUGGCCAACUUCUCGAGCGCGGCAUCCGCGUGCGGCGUCGAAGAGUUCCGGUUCGUCCCGCCGGGGUCCGCCGCCGGCCACGACGGCUUCACCGCCGCCAUGUCCCGAAGCGCCGGCCGGAAGAAAGGCGGCGGGUUCUUGGACAGCUGCCGGUGCGAGAAGGCCGUCAGCGUCGGGCCGACCCCGGUCCGUGUGGCCCGCCCGCCGGCGGUCCCGUCUAACAAGACGGCGAUGGGGCUGGAAAGCGGCGGCGUCGCGCUGUAG
rnacentral:rRNA from 1 species